rnacentral:rRNA from 1 species
CACGUAGGCGGACUGGUCAGUUGGGGGUGAAAUCCCAGGGCUCAACCCUGGAACUGCCUCCAAUACUGCCAGUCUUGAGUCCGAGAGAGGUGAGUGGAAUUCCUAGUGUAGAGGUGAAAUUCGUAGAUACUAGGAAGAACACCAGUGGCGAAGGCGGCUCACUGGCUCGGUACUGACGCUGAGGUGCGAAAGCGUGGGGAGCAAACA